UACGUAGGGGGCAAGCGUUGUCCGGAAUCAUUGGGCGUAAAGAGCGUGUAGGUGGCUCGGUAAGUCCGCUGUGAAAGUCCAGGGCUCAACCCUGGAAUGCCGGUGGAAACUGUCGAGCUCGAGUCCGGAAGAGGCGAGUGGAAUUCCUGGUGUAGCGGUGAAAUGCGCAGAUAUCAGGAGGAACACCAAUGGCGAAGGCAGCUCGCUGGGACGGUACUGACACUGAGGCGCGAAAGCGUGGGGAGCGAACGGG
rnacentral:rRNA from 1 species